rnacentral:lncRNA from 1 species
NNNNNNNNNNNNNNNNNGAGAGAGAGAGAGAGAGAGUGCAUUGGAACCAGGGGAGGGGCAGAGAAGCAGACUCCCUGCUGAGCCAGGACCCUGACAAGGACUCAGUCCCAGGACUGUGGGAUCAUGGCCUGAGCAGAAGGCAGCUGCUUAACCAACUAAGCCACCCAAGGAGUCUCAGCCAACUCAGAAGGAUAGAGAGAAAAUUUUGAGGAUGGGAUCGCUGAAACCCUGCCCUGAUGAAAUACUGGGAAAACUGGCAGAAGGAGAGAAAGGUGGGAGGAGCUGGAGAGAGAGAGAGAGACAUACCCAAGUAGACUCCCUGCUGAGCGGAGAGCCCAACACACCAGGCUGGAUUCCGUGACCCUGAGAUCAGGACCCAAACUGAAAUCGAGUCUGAUGAUCAACUGACUGAGCCACCCAGGUGCCCCAGGAAAAAAAUAAUUUAAAAAAGAAGUUUAAUACUGUCAGAAAUAGUUAUUGUUUGUUCCAGCUGAUAAUA